ACUUUUUGGAGAGUUUGAUCCUGGCUCAGGACGAACGCUGGCGGCGUGCCUAAUACAUGCAAGUCGAGCGCAUUGAAGGGAGCUUGCUCCCGGAUGUGAGCGGCGGAUGGGUGAGUAACACGUGGGUAACCUGCCUGUCAGAUUGGGAUAACUGUGGGAAACCGCAGCUAAUACCGAAUGAUCCCCUGCACCACAUGGUGCAGGGUUGAAAGAUGGUUUCGGCCAUCACUGACAGAUGGGCCCGCGGUGCAUUAGUUAGUUGGCGGGGUAACGGCCCACCAAGACAGCGAUGCAUAGCCGACCUGAGAGGGUGAUC
rnacentral:rRNA from 1 species